rnacentral:rRNA from 1 species
AGCGAACGCUGGCGGCAGGCCUAACACAUGCAAGUCGAACGAACCCUUCGGGGUUAGUGGCGGACGGGUGAGUAACACGUGGGAACGUACCUUUAGGUUCGGAACAACACAGGGAAACUUGUGCUAAUGCCGAAUGUACCCUUCGGGGGAAAGAUUUAUCGCCUUUAGAGCGGCCCGCGUCUGAUUAGCUUGUUGGUGAGGUAAAGGCUCACCAAGGCUUCGAUCAGUAGCUGGUCUGAGAGGAUGAUCAGCCACACUGGGACUGAGACACGGCCCAGACUCCUACGGGAGGCAGCAGUGGGGAAUCUUGCGCAAUGGGCGAAAGCCUGACGCAGCCAUGCCGCGUGAAUGAUGAAGGUCUUAGGAUUGUAAAAUUCUUUCACCGGGGAAGAUAAUGACGGUACCCGGAGAAGAAGCCCCGGCUAACUUCGUG